GACGAACGCUGGCGGCGUGCUUAACACAUGCAAGUCGAACGGAAAGGCCCUGCUUUUGUGGGGUUCUCGAUUGGCGAACGGGGGAGUAACACGUGAGGAACCUCCCCUUGACUUUGGGAUAACUUCAGGAAACUGGGGCUAAUACCCGGUAGGAUCUCUUGCUCCAUGGGGUGCGUUGGAAAGUUUCGGCGUUGGGGUAUGGACUCGAGGCUUAUCAGCUGGUUGGUGGGGUAGGGGCUUACCAAGGCUUUGACGGGUAGCCGGCCUGAGAGGGUGAACGGCCACAAUGGGACUGAGAUACGGCCCAGACUGCUACGGGAGGCAGCAGUGGGGAAUAUUGCACAAUGGGCGGACGCCUGAUGCAGCAACGCCGCGUGCGGGAUGCCGGCCUUCGGGUUGUAAACCGCUUUCGCAUGUGACGAAGCGUGAGUGACGGUAAUGGGUAAAGAAGCACCGGCUAACUACGUG
rnacentral:rRNA from 1 species